rnacentral:rRNA from 1 species
UUUCGCAAUGCCCGAAAGGGUGACGAAGCGACGCCGCGUGCGGGAAGAAGGCCUUCGGGUUGUAAACCGCUGUCGGGAGUUAGGAAGUGCUAGGAUGUUAAUAGCGUUCUUGCUUGACUAAGGCUCCGGAGGAAGCCACGGCUAACUCUGUGCCAGCAGCCGCGGUAAUACAGAGGCGGCAAGCGUUGUUCGGAAUUAUUGGGCGUAAAGAGCACGUAGGCGGCUGUGUAAGUCGGUUGUGAAAGCCUUCCGCUUAACGGAAGAACGGCAUCCGAUACUGCAUAGCUUGAGUGCGGGAGGGGAGAGUGGAACUUCUGGUGGAGCGGUGAAAUGCGUAGAUAUCAGAAGGAACACCGGCGGCGAAGGCGACUCUCUGGUCCGUAACUGACACUGAGUGUGCGAAAGCUAGGGGAGCAAACGGGAUUAGAUACCCCGGUAGUCCUAGCCGUAAACGAUGGGCACUAAGUAGAGGGGUUUU